rnacentral:sRNA from 1 species
CCAACUGGCUGGCUGGAGUAAUUAGACAUCUGAGAGGAACCUAGUCUGUAUCUGAGGUCAAAGGGGACUUGCCUCAGAAGUUUUUGAAUUAUCACUAGUUUUAUUUGUAUUUUUGCUCGAGGCCAUAGCCUUGUAGAUGAAGGUGUUAGAGUGCUUUGUAAAUCCAAGUUCUUGAAAUAUAAGGUCAUAAAGCUCAGAAACUCAGCAGACACAGACGCCUGUGGCCUGUCGGAUGCGGCCCACAUCGAGAGCCUGCAGGAGAAGUCGCAGUGCGCACUGGAGGAGUACGUGAGGAGCCAGUACCCCAACCAGCCCAGCCGCUUUGGCAAACUGCUGCUGCGACUGCCCUCGCUGCGCACCGUGUCCUCCUCCGUCAUCGAGCAGCUCUUCUUCGUCCGUUUGGUAGGUAAAACCCCCAUCGAAACUCUCAUCCGCGAUAUGUUACUGUCUGGGAGCAGCUUCAACUGGCCUUACAUGUCCAUCCAGUGCUCCUAGACCUUGGGCGCUUCCCACCUGCCCCGUCCCCCUAGAGACUCAGAGGACCCACCUGGGCCAAGGACUCCAAAGCCGCGGGGACACCGGGAAGUGCAGCGGGCCAGGCAGGCCGGGCGGGAGGGAGGAGGGCCGAGACAGGAGCAGCCCACCCAGCAGAAAUACAAUCCGAGCUACAAAGCAUGGGAAAAAGAGACUUUUAGGAUCAGAUCUGUGAGCACAUUGGCGAGGAAAAACAAAACAAACAAACAAAAAGAACCUUGUGUCUGUCUGGUGAAAAAAAGAAAAACAAAUUGGAAGAGA